rnacentral:rRNA from 1 species
GUAGGUGGCAAGCGUUGUCCGGAAUUAUUGGGCGUAAAGCGCGCGCAGGCGGUUCUUUAAGUCUGAUGUGAAAGCCCACGGCUCAACCGUGGAGGGUCAUUGGAAACUGGAGAACUUGAGUACAGAAGAGGAAAGCGGAAUUCCACGUGUAGCGGUGAAAUGCGUAGAGAUGUGGAGGAACACCAGUGGCGAAGGCGGCUUUCUGGUCUGUAACUGACGCUGAGGCGCGAAAGCGUGGGGAGCAAACAGGAUUAGAUACCCUGGUAGUCCACGCCGUAAACGAUGAGUGCUAAGUGUUAGGGGGGUUUUCCGCCCCCCUUAGUGCUGCAGCUAACGCAUUAAGCACUCCGCCUGGGUAGUACGGCCGCAAGGCUG